rnacentral:rRNA from 3 species
AGGCUUAACACAUGCAAGUCGAGGGACCGGCGCACGGGUGAGUAACACGUAUCCAACCUACCGGUUAUUCUGGGAUAGCCUUUCGAAAGAAAGAUUAAUACCGGAUAGUUAAAGUCGAUAACCGAUGGGGAUGCGUUCCAUUAGUUUGUUGGCGGGGUAACGGCCCACCAAGACAUCGAUGGAUAGGGGUUCUGAGAGGAAGGUCCCCCACAUUGGAACUGAGACACGGUCCAAACUCCUACGGGAGGCAGCAGUGAGGAAUAUUGGUCAAUGGACGAGAGUCUGAACCAGCCAAGUAGCGUGAAGGAUGACUGCCUAUGGGUUGUAAACUUCUUUUAUAUGGGAAUAUGUAUGUACCAUACGAAUAAGGAUCGGCUAACUCCGUGCCAGCAGCCGCGGUAAUACGGAGGAUCCGAGCGUUAUCCGGAUUUAUUGGGUUUAAAGGGAGCGUAGGCGGACUAUUAAGUCAGCUGUGAAAGUUUGCGGCUCAACCGUAAAAUUGCAGUUGAUACUGGUCGUCUUGAGUGCAGUAGAGGUAGGCGGAAUUCGUGGUGUAGCGGUGAAAUGCUUAGAUAUCACGAAGAACUCCGAUUGCGAAGGCAGCUUACUGGACUGACUGACGCUGAUGCUCGAAAGUGUGGGUAUCAAACAGGAUUAGAUACCCUGGUAGUCCACACAGUAAACGAUGAAUACUCGCUGUUUGCGAGCAAGCGGCCAAGCGAAAGCAUUAAGUAUUCCACCUGGGGAGUACGCCGGCAACGGUGAAACUCAAAGGAAUUGACGGGGGCCCGCACAAGCGGAGGAACAUGUGGUUUAAUUCGAUGAUACGCGAGGAACCUUACCCGGGCUUAAAUUGUGAAGGUGCUGCAUGGUUGUCGUCAGCUCGUGCCGUGAGGUGUCGGCUUAAGUGCCAUAACGAGCGCAACCCUUAUCUUUAGUUACUAACAGCUGAGGACUCUAGAGAGACUGCCGUCGUAAGAUGGAGGAAGGUGGGGAUGACGUCAAAUCAGCACGGCCCUUACGUCCGGGGCUACACACGUGUUACAAUGGGGGGCAGAAGGCAGCUACACAGCGAUGUGAUGCUAAUCCCACCUCUCUCAGUUCGGAUGGAGUCUGCAACCCGACUCCAGAAGCUGGAUUCGCUAGUAAUCGCGCAUCAGCCAGGCGCGGUGAAUACGUUCCCGGGCCUUGUACACACCGCCCGUCAAGCCAUGAAAGCCGGGGGUACCUGAAGUCCGUAGCGGCCUAGGGUA